rnacentral:rRNA from 1 species
CUAAGAAUAUUCCGCAAUGGACGAAAGUCUGACGGAGCGACGCCGCGUGGAUGAAGAAGGCCGAAAGGUUGUAAAGUCCUUUUGUCGACGAAGAAUAAGUGGGGGAGGGAAUGCCCUCAUGAUGACGUUAGUCGGCGAAUAAGCCCCGGCUAAUUACGUGCCAGCAGCCGCGGUAACACGUAAGGGGCAAGCGUUGUUCGGAAUUAUUGGGCGUAAAGGGUGCGUAGGCGGUCCUGUAAGCCCGGCGUGAAAUACUGGAGCUCAACUCCAGAACGGCGCUGGGAACUGCAAGACUUGAGUCAUGGAAGGGAAGUUAGAAUUCCAGGUGUAGGGGUGAAAUCUGUAGAUAUCUGGAAGAAUACCGGUGGCGAAGGCGAACUUCUGGCCAAUGACUGACGCUGAGGCACGAAAGCGUGGGGAGCAAACAGG